ensembl:lncRNA
GCAGAUUUCUGCUUUGGUGAAGGCAGUCUACUAGGUGGAGUAUAUCAACUUUUCACCUAAUGAAUUACCUACAUGUUGUUCCCUCAGUACACAUGUAACCUGCUAUUCUCACCUGAGUGAACCUGCAUUAAUUAGGUUUCUCGUGAUGCUGUGCGUCUGACGUCAUGACGCCUCCGCCUUCUCCAGAAUCUUCUACCUGCAGUUGAGCCGCCAAUUUCUGUCCGACAACGGAAGAAGGUAACAAAGAUACUGAAUCUUCUUUGAAGCUUUGGUGUGCUUGCGAUGGAGACGCCAUCCUUUCUUAGCCCAGCAGCUUCUCCUUUGAUGGUGAAUUUGCUAAUGGCCUCAAACAAGUCAGCCAGGAAGUGACAGAAACCCACAAAGCUUCCAUCUUCCAUCAUCUUCUUGACCUACCACCAUGGCUCGUUCGACACCUGCAGGACUGAAGAUUAAUACAGAGUUCCAGAGGCUCAUGGCUGAUCUUCUUGAGGAGAAGUUUGUGGCCCAGUCAGACAUGCACUCAAUUCAGCCGAUCAAAGUCAUCCGUGCUAAAGGAGGAGCAACACGCCAAAAGACUGUGGACACUUUGGACCAGGACUCUGGAGGAGAUGAUGCUCAGAGGGACUUGGAGCAGCUCACCAUGCCAGUGUUUGUCAUUUGGAAGGAGGGGGAAGGACUGCAGGAGCCACCUGAAGGCAUUGGCAUCGUCAUUGAUGGCGUGGAAGUGUUGCAUGAACUGACUUCGGUUGCCUCAGCUUGUGCCCUGCUCCUAGGUUUGAUUCAUGCACUCAACCUAGCUUACCCAAAAGCCCCACUUCACUUUUGAAGUGCUCCAUAAAAUAUUCAUGCAGCUUGAUCAGCGCAGAUGUCCCCCAAAGUCCAUAAUCUGUAUAGCAAACUUCAAAGCUUGCAGUAACGACACACUUCGAUGUAUGCCUCUGCAACAACAAAUGGCCUAGUACCAUAUUGUACUUUCACACAGAUUUUGUAACAGAUUUGGCAGAAGUUUUUUCCAGACAUAUUUCCUUCCAUUUGUAGGGAAAGGAUGCAUUUCAGUUUUGAUAUGUUCAGUUACUCAACAGUUGUGACAGUGUGUAACAGUGUGAUUUAAAACUCUAAAAGAAGUGUUCAUAUUUUUUCAUCUCCAUUGUUCAGUUACACUGUUCUGAUGCAUAAUAUUCAUUGGCUAUAGCUGGUUAAAGAGGUUUCUGUAUACUGUUGGCACUUUUUCAUAGUUGUGAUAACACUAUGUGUUGAGAUUGGUAGGCAUAUUUGUAUAAUACUUUGUACUAUUUUGCACUAUUUUGGACUUUGUUGACAAAAUAAGUGGUCCUACUAACAGUUACUUAUGCAUUUUGUGCAUAUGUGUUUUAAAAAGGACAAAUGUGUAAUGUGAUGGCCCAAAAGCUGUGUUGGUGGCCAUAAAGUUAAUGGUUCUUUACAUUUAUACAAUAAAGUAAAAAAAACAAAAAAACAAACCAAAAAACCAUAUUCAUAUUUUCAGCCAACUUAAAAUUGUAAUUUUAGUUGUAUUAAACUAAAAUUCCAUUUUAAGGUUACUUGACUUGCCUUGAUUUUAAAUUGGAUUAAUGCAAAACAUUGAUUUGAGAACAAUUAAAUUAGUAAGUACAUGUGACUUUGUCAGUUGUGUUAAUCUAUUAAUUUAAUUUCAAAUAACUUAAUUCUUUUAGGUGUUAGCAAUUGAAACAAUUCAAUUAACUUGAUCCAACUAUUUUCUUUUUUCAGUGUAAUAAUGUGUAAUAAUGUAGCGUUUUGUAUGUUAUACAUGAAUGAAUUAACUGGUCUGUGCUAUAUAAUUCCUCAAAUGAAAUGCAUUACUUACCUGCUGCAUCCUAUAAUGUUGAAUUCAAAGUACAGUCUAAUGAUUACAAAAUACAUACUUAUUUUUAAUAUUUUUUGGCAUCUGAAAAGUCAUGGUAAGAGUAAGAGUAAGAAUCUUCAUAUAAGCUGAAAGUUCUGGUUCAGCUUCCUGCCUCUGCUGUUGACUGCUUAAUCCUUAAAGGUAGUACGGCACUGCAGUAGCAUUACACUCACUGAGUGUGGUAGUAACAAGUGCACCAGAGUAAAACUUUAACCAGCACAACAAUGCUUUUCUGACACACAAGAUUUAGUGUGAACUGACCAUAACUAAAUUGACAAUGACCAAUGAAAGUCCUUAUAGUGCUAUCCAGUCAAAUAGUGCAUUCAAAUUCAAAUAAACCUCUUCAUAUUCAAAUAAAAAUAAAAGUUGUCAAAAAAAACCUAGUUGAUCAUUUAAGGAACCCCCUUUCUCCUGUAAAAGAUCCAGUUAUUCAAUUCAAAAUACUAAUCCAGCUGCAGGUACUGUCUUUUUCAUGUCUUCACUUUUGUCAAGAGGCAUUUGGCUCUUCAGAUCUUGAUAGCCUGAGAAUCACUGAGGGUAGCUAAUCACUGUAAUGUUCAGGGAUUUUAGUCUGCUUUAGACCAGUAAAAAGUUUUGUCUUCUAGCUUAAUCAUCCUUAUUAAGAAAGAAUUUUAAGCAAUGUAAGGGCACAAUUUGUGUGAGUCAAAACAAGGGGACAUUUCGUAAAGCAGGUGUUUGAGGAAUUCCUUGACAAUACCCUUCUAAUGUAUGACAACAGUGGAAACUGGCUCUAGUUAAGAGCCCCUUCUGGUCCGGUCUCACUUGGCAGAUUCAGCAUAUCCACCAUGUGUGAGAACAUCACAGCCAUUUUUAUCCUGGAAAGAAACACACAGCUAAUAAUAAUUAAAAUUUAGAUGAAAAUAGCAGCCACAUUAUGUCUCAACUGAAGUUUGAAAAUGAACUAAUGAAUUUUGCUAAAGGUCACAAGUUGAAUAGCUGAAGGGUAUAUUUAGUGAAUUGAAAUACAUUUUAUGAUAAUGUAAAACAAACACUCAUCAGUAGAUUUGGUUAAGUGUUAAUACUAUUUUAGAGACAAUGGAUGCUUGCAGGGCGUCUUUUUUCUUUUGAGGGCACAUCUGUCUCUGCUUUUGUGUUUGCACACAUGACCUCAUCUCCCUAGAGAGAUGAGGUAAUAUGUGAGCAAGAAAGCUCAUUCACAUUCAUCAAAGAAAAAACCUUUAACCACUGUAGCACUGGUUGAGCACUGAGGAGGUGUGUGUGUCUUUGGUUUUUAUAUAUAUAUAUAUAUAUAUAUAUAUAUAUAUAUAUAUAUAUAUAUAUAUAUAUAUAUAUAUAUAUAUAUAUAUAAAAUAAAGGCUUUUACAGUAUAUUCACUUUAAGUAUCAUUUAGAUAGAUUGGAGCAAAGUGAGACAGGAAACGUUCCCUUUCCUUUCACCACUUGACCCUGAGAGGAGACACUGCCUGAUGUCUGCUGCUCUGCUCCACUGGCAGACUAGCACACUGACACAAGGACGCACAAUCUGGAACAAAACACUAGAACAACCACCAGCUGGCACUAGUAGGCUAACACAUGUGCACCAGAUAUCAAGCCCCAAUGUAUUUCAUGUAUUAGUAUGUAUCUGGGGUCGAUAUCUUUUUUUAACUAAAGAGAAGAUUAUGGUUUUAAGAGUAAUAUAUUAUGUGUCUCCUUAACAACAACUCAUGCCUUCCCCUUUAUACCCCCAUAAGAAAAUAAUUAUUUAAUUAAUUUAUUGUAGUUGUAUAAUUUUAUAAACCAUGACAGAGAUAUUACUGUGAAGGGGAAUAUAUGUUGGCAUGAUUUGGAGAGCAAAAGCAUCAGGGCGUGUGGAUACAGCUGACUUUCUUUGUCUGCAGCAUUCACAGCUCCUGCAUCCCUCCCCCUCUGCUUCCUCAGCCCAGCUUCCUCUCAGCACCAUGGACAGUGACCUGCCUACUGGAGCUGCGUUGCCAUGGCGACGUGCUGUCUGUUCGCUGGAGCUCGCGGUGUGCUGUGAAGCUGCCUGUGAUUUAAUAUUCAGACACCGCCCCCACCAACACCACCACCACCACUUUACAGUGCAACAUCCAUUCCAUCAUCUGAGCAUUCUCUGUAAAAUACCACCGCUGCCUCUGCCUACUGAGGGCGAAUUGUUUUAAAAGACGUGGUGUUUUGAGAUGUGGUAGCAGUGAUGCAGCAUGGGGGAGACGAUGGAGACAGAAACGGGAGCUGUUGCAGAAUGCGGCAGCGCUCGUGAGCGCGCACGUAAACGUUUGGUCUAUUUCCAGAACCGAUACGCAGCCGCGGCAUGUUGGAGGGGUGCGAGGAAAUGUUUUUUUUAAAAAUGUAGGUCACUUUUUUUUCCGGUUGUUGUUAGUGCAAUCGUUAUUUACCCCCUUUCUAACAAAAUCCAUUAUUUCUUCCACGCUGUGCUGCAGAGUGGUGAGGCUUCUGCGUGACGCACAAGGCACGAUUACGUAUGAACAAUGCAGACUACAAGAGUGGGUUCAUUAGAGCUGCACUUGCAGGUUUAAUCCAUGAGAUGUCGCUGCUCACCGCUGCAGCAAGAGGAAGAUUGUGGGUGUGUGCUGAGUAGAUGACACAGCUGAAGCAGGCAGAAUGUGAAUAUCAGCAGCUCUUCUACAAUGUCCCAAACACAAUGACACAUAAAUUAACGCUUUAUGUUAGGGUUCGUAAUCUGUAAACGUAAUGAUAAUAUGAUACAGCUCUAGAAGUUUCCUGUAAACAGCUAUACAAUAAAGCCCAGUGUUCAACUGGUACACUUUCAAUGAAUUUAUCAGUGAAUUGCUUGGCUAGCCAUGUGGAGCAAAUAUGUGAUUGAUUUACGUUUGAGUUUUACUCUUCUUUCAGGGAAAUCUCCUUUACCUCAUACUACAAUUAACACAGCUCUUUCCAGGACAUGUCCUUAUUGUUAAUGUAAAGAUUAUCAUUAAAAAUCCUCAUGUGCAAUUUCUGAUUGUUGUCAUCUUUGAACACUUCGUUGCCAACAUUCUUUAAAAUGUCAAGAAAAAAUACAACGGAUGCUUAUUUUCUUAAUAAGUGAAGGUUAACAAUUAAAGGUUAUAUUGUUACUUUAAAUACACAUGUUUAUUGACUAGAUAUGCGAGUUGUAGG